rnacentral:lncRNA from 1 species
CUCAUGUCUAGGCACUGAGGUUGGUUCUUCCUUUCAGCCUCCUGUUCUAUGAAGACCUUGGCCCUUGGGGAUCUGGGGAAGGAGCUGACUCCAAGAAGGCCAUGAGCCGGGGCACAGAGACUUGCCCUGUUAACCAGGCUGGAGUGCACUGGCACAAUCUCAGCUCACUGCAACCUCCACCUCCCAGGUUCAAGUGAUUCUCCUGCCUCAGCCUCCCGAGUAGCUGGAAUCACAGGCACAUGCCACCACACCUGGCUAAUUUUUGUAUUUUUAGUAGAGACAGGGUUUCACCAUGUUGGCCAGGCUGGUCUUGAACUCCUGAUCUCAGGGUAUUAGCCCAUCUUGACCUCCCAAAGUGUUGGGAUUACAGGCAUGAGCCACCACGCCCCGAUACACUUUGUAUUCCUUAACUGAAUUCUGUAUAAUGACUCUUGAGAUCAACGAUUCAUUUAUCAGUAUUUUAAAAAUAUAUGGUGUCACUUUUUUUUUUCAUUUGCAGGCUCCAGUGUGAUUGAUAUCUAUAAAAAUAUUGCCAUACAAUUUUUAAACGUAACAGAAGUGGAACUUUGGAAUUUUAAUUGCACUUACCAUGAAAUUUGUUAUAUUGGAAUAAACAAUCAUCCUAGUGUACUUUCUACCCUUAGCCUGAAGCAGAACUUCUUCUGUUGAUUCUGUCAUUAUUUUGUGUCUAUCACACAGUGUAAUUAUAUGUACCUCAUGUGACUCAUUAUUGGGUUCAAUAUCAUUUAGAACACUAUAUUUAAUAAAAUCUAUGAAAAGCAUAGAUGCUCCAGGCAUUUACAACUAAAACAUUGAAUUCAGAUUCAUUUUCAGGUAAUGAUAUAAUCAUGUGAAAAGAAUGCAUUUCUGUAUUUUUUGAAACCUUUUCUUUUGAAAACAUAGUAAUACAUUUCUACUCUAAAAUAGAACUUAGCCUAAAUACUUUCAAAACCUUUAGAAUUUGGAAAAGAAAUAAAAAUCUCACAUAAUUCUGAAUGUUCCCUUUUUUACUUGAA